rnacentral:lncRNA from 1 species
CCCCACCCCAAAACAUAAUAAAAGAACCAGCGUGUAUACAGGAUCAUACAGUAAAUAUAAAAUUAAAUAUUUGUGAAUAACUCCUUCCCCUUAAAAGAUCCCUCCACCUUUUUCCUUGACUUCUGAUGUCAAAUAUCUUGUUUUCAUUUCUUUUUUUUUCUAUUCUUUUUAUCAAUUCAAAGAGAAAGACGUAUACAUCAGUACAUAAACAAUGGUUGACAACUUGAAAUAUAAACAACGGAUAGAUCUAUUUAAAUAACGAUUUAAAUUUUCGCGGCAUUGUAACAUUUCUAUUUUAAGACUUCAGAUAUGCGCAUGCGCAGUUGUUUUUGUUGCCAAAGUUUGAAUAUCCGCCAACGAGACCACAAGUGAUUUCUGCAGAGUUUUUAUAAAUAUCUUUCCUCUAUACAGCUUUUACAUUUUUAUCGUAAGUAUUUAUAUUAAUUGUUGUGAUUACGUUAUCGUAUUUUAGAAAUGUGAACAUAUCAUGUUGUUAUGAAACUGUACAGUACUGAAAAGUUGAAAUUUUACACGUGAAAAAGGGGGAUGUUUAGGACAAUCUAUGGAUUGACCUUAGGAUCAGGAUCAGGAUAGCAUGUUACCAUUCCCAAGAUAUCUUGCAACGUCUCAUGAAUUUUUAUCAUUGACUAUUUGAAAUCAUAUGAUUGAAUCAAAAGUGAAAAGAAAUUUUAAUCGCAUAAAAAGGGGGGCUUGUUUACAACUUUGGGAUGGAAAGGUCAGAAGCUACAUAUAUGACUCACCAAGUUGAACCUUUAAUUUUACUGUCAAAAUUGAGGUAGAGUUUGGACAAGGUAAUUAAACAUAAAGGGUAUAUGAGGGUGGUAAAAAGUUAUUUGCAUUUAUGGCCUUUUUAUUUCACGUGUUUUAGCGUUUUAUUUCUCGUAAUUGGUUCGACAUGCAUUAUUUUUGUUUCCUCUUAUUUAUUUUCCGUGUUUCGUCUGUGUACUCUUUAAUUUCUCGUGCUAGUCCAACAUUCAAGAUAAAAAAAAAGUAAACCAGGACUAAAUUCGAAGUCCAGUCGGGAGAUUGUUUUAAAUUAUGUGUUCCCAGGAUAUUAAUUGCGAUCAAGUUAUCUUUUCCACGAUUCGGAUGCAACAAGCGGAAGCGAAGCGAAAAGGUGACUGCAGGGUCUUCGUGUCCAUUAUCAUGACUGUGUGAUCUCCAAUAACGACUGAGUAUUAACUUCUAGUACUUUUUUCCUUAAUAAUAUUCAUGAUUUAAUUUUUCGUGCUUCCUUUAUCCAAAUUUUUAUUUUCAGUGCAGUGGUUUUUUUUAAUUUUUAUUUCACGUGUUUCCGUGUUAAGAACCCCCUUUACCAUCCUCGAAUAUGUCAAUUAGUCAGAUAUCCAUGCCGCAGCACAAGUAAUACAGAAAAAGACAUAAGUGGAUAAACCUUCAAUUUGUUCAAAUUAAAAUGUAGUAGUUAGGAUUUUCUUGCAGAUUAUACCUUUUUAAGUCCUUCUAGUCUAUCUAAAAGGAAAUGUAGUUGAGACUUCAAAGGACAACUGUUAUUUACUUUAGUUUUCACCGGUUCUUAUGCUUUUUAUUUAUACUUUAAGGGAGCUAAUUUAAAGUUUUUAUGGGGGGGGGGCUAAGUUGAAAAAGUUAGUAAAGGCAAUGUUAAGUCAAACAAUAGUAAAAAAAAGUGGAUUUACAGAUGUAAAAAGUUUAACUAAUUUUUUUUUGAUUUUGUAGAUGUCAUCAUGAAGACCUAGAUGGAAUCACGGAACAGCAAUUCAAGUGUCUGAAAAAACAAUAAACUUUCUAAAACGGGCUCCAAAAAGACAAGGUGUGAGAAAAAAGAAGUUGAAGUUUCACUAUUAAUAAAUAAAUUUAUUUUAAUUUUAUCGUAU